rnacentral:rRNA from 1 species
GGAGGGAUCAAGCGUUGUUCGGAAUCAUUGGGCGUAAAGCGGGGGUAGGCGGUUUGGCAAGUCGGAUGUGAAAUCCCAGGGCCCAACCCUGGAACUGCAUUCGAAACUGUCUCGCUAGAGUCCCGGAGAGGAUGGCGGAAUUCCCGGUGUAGAGGUGAAAUUCGUAGAUAUCGGGAGGAACACCAGUGGCGAAGGCGGCCAUCUGGAAGGUGACUGACGCUGAGACCCGAAAGUGUGGGGAGCAAACAGGAUUAGAUACCCUGGUAGUCCACACCGUAAACGUUGAGUGCUCGUCGUCGCGGGUAUUGACCCCCCUGCGGUGACCAAGCUAACGUGAGAAGCACUCCGCCUGGGGAGUACGGCCGCAAGGCUAA